GCGGGAGUUAUCUGGUCGGUGUGAGUUGGCUGCUUCUCUGGAACUAGAUUCCGAGCUCCCUGAAGGCACGAAUACCACUCCUUGUCUCCUCUUUCUGCCUCCUGCCCUCUGCCCCUUACGACACAGAUUGAGCACCUCGUAUAGAAUGCACCUAGUGUAUAAUGCACAUCAAGUAUAAUGUGUCCAGCAUGUAAUGCCCCUAGAGUGUAACGCACGUAAUGUGUAUUGCAUGUAGCUUGUAAUGCCUGUAGUGUGUAAUACACAUAGUUCGGGGCGGGGGGCACAUGGUGUGUAAUGCACCUAGGGUGUAAUGCACGCAAUGUAUAUUUCAUAUAACUUAUAAUGCCUGUAGUGUAAUACACAUAGUUCAGGGGCACAUGGCGUGUAAUGCACCCAGACUACAAUGCCCCAGGCACCAUAUAAUGUGAUUGUCACUGCACAGAUGGCCGUACAGGCAUCACCACUAAGUUCAUCUUCCUCUGUCACUAUGCAAAUUCCAUGUCAAGGUCUUUUACUAUGUUUGUUUGUUUUAAGCGUACGCAGCCUGCACCAGCAACUCCCCUUCCUUUCACUCUUUUUAAGGGCAGUUCUUCAGGGACCUCAAAUAACCAAAGGAAAACCCCGGUACAUUUUCCAAUCCUUUGCGCCCGCUCACCCCACCUGCUGCUGCAGCACCAUUUGGCACUUUCGGUUUCUCUCCCAUUGUGAACACACCAAGAGGACGGGGAUGGGAUCCGGUUCUCCUCCUGGAUCAUCGCACACGUGGCCCCUCAUGGCCUUAUUGUGGCUGGACACCCACAGCCGGACCUCUGGGGCACACAGGGAGAGGGCAGCGGGUUCUCGCCUUUAG
rnacentral:lncRNA from 1 species